rnacentral:lncRNA from 1 species
NUAUCCCCACUGAUGUCUCAUGUUCCCAUUGCCUCCAUGUCCCCUUGAUUCCAUGUCCCACCGAUGUCCCCACGUCCUACUGACAUCCCCAAGCCCCACCAACGUCCCCAUGCCCCACUGCCGUCCCCACUGCCGUCCCCACUGCCGUCCCCACUGCCGUCCCCACAUCCCACUGACGUCCCCGUUCCCCCAGGUACAUCCGUCCCUCCAUGCUGCAGCACCUCCUGCGCCGUCUCGUCUUCGAUGUCCCCAUCCUCAACGAGUUCGCCAAAAUGCCGCUCAAGCUGCUGACCAACCACUACGAGCGGUGCUGGAAGUACUACUGCCUGCCCAGCGGGUGGCCCAACUACGGGGUCAGCUCCGAGGAGGAGCUGCACCUGACCCGCAAACUCUUCUGGGGCAUCUUCGAGUCCCUGGCACACAAGAAGUUCGACCCCGAGCUGUACAAGCUGGCCAUGCCGUGCCUCUGCGCCAUCGCGGGCGCGCUGCCCCCCGACUACGUGGACGCCAGUUACUCCUCCAAGACCGAGAAGAAGGCGUCGGUGGACGCCGAGGGCAACUUCGACCCCAAACCCGUCGAGACCCUCAACGUCAUCAUCCCCGAGAAGCUGGACGGGUUCAUCAACAAGUACGCCGAGUACACGCACGAGAAGUGGGCGUUCGACAAGGUGGGACCCCCGGGNCCCUCAGCUUCGUGUCCCAAUGGGUGUCCCCAUGCUGGGUGACAUCUGGUGACCCUCAGCUUGGUGUCCCAGUGGGUGUCCCCAUGGUGGGUGACACCUGGUGGCCCUCAGCUUGGUGUCCCAGUGGUGUCCCCAUGGUGGGUGACACCUGGUGGCCCUCAGCUUGGUGUCCCAAUGGGUGUCCCCGUGGUGGGUGA